UAAGGAAUAUUGGUCAAUGGACGCAAGUCUGAACCAGCCAUGCCGCGUGAAAGAUGAAGGUCCUCUGGAUUGUAAACUUCUUUUAUCUGGGACGAAAACGGGCUUUUUAUCUCAAUUGACGGUACCAGAGGAAUAAGCACCGGCUAACUCCGUGCCAGCAGCCGCGGUAAUACGGAGGGUGCGAGCGUUAUCCGGAUUUACUGGGCGUAAAGGGCGCGUAGGCGGCGCGGUAAGUCACUUGUGAAAUCUCUGAGCUUAACUCAGAACGGCCAAGUGNUACUGCUGUGCUAGAGUGCGGAAGAGGCAACCGGAAUUCUUGGUGUAGCGGUGAAAUGCGUAGAUAUCAAGAGGAACACCUGAGGCGAAGGCGGGUUGCUGGGCCGACACUGACGCCGAUGCGCGAAAGCCAGGG
rnacentral:rRNA from 1 species